rnacentral:rRNA from 1 species
UACGGAGGGUGCACGCGUUAUUCGGAAUUCUUGGGCGUAAAGGGCGCGUAGGCGGCUUGGCAAGUGGAAGGUGAAAUCCCUCGGCUUAACCGAGGAACUGCCCUCCAAACUGCUUCGCUUGAGACCGGGAGAGGUGAGUGGAAUUCCCAGUGUAGCGGUGAAAUGCGUAGAUAUUGGGAGGAACACCAGUGGCGAAGGCGGCUCACUGGACCGGUACUGACGCUGAUGCGCGAAAGCGUAGGGAGCAAACGGG